AAUAAUGACUGAUCUUUGAAUUUUGAAAAAUGAGAGGUGAUUUUAGAGGCGGCGAAAUUAGGUUUGGAGGUGAGCAACGAAAUUAACUCCGUGCUAUUCCUGCUGCAAUUCCCAAUUCUCAGAAGGCAACAACAUAUGAAUCGGGUACGAGUGGUUCGCCUGCAGACCAAUCUGAAAUUGAUAAGUUGGAGCAACACCUCUCUAAUCUCAUAAAGAUGUAUCUACAUGGCAAAGUCCUUGUUCUGUCUGAAAAAACGUGACUAGCUUCGAGCCUCCUCACUAAUUGAGCUAUUGAAAUUUUAAAUUGUGAUGCUCUGUUUUUGUUAUUGCUUGUAUUGUUGCAACUCUUGGUGGCUCUCUGUUUGGCUAUGAUCUUGGAGUUUCUGGGAUCGUUGUUACCAAAAAUGUACGCAUCUUUUCUUAUAAUUCCCUAAGGUCAGCAACUAGGAAUUUUCAUCCAUCGAGCAAAAUAGGUGCUAGAGGCUAUGGAGUUGUCUACAAAGUGAGACCAAUGUUGUUGCUUUUAUGAAUCUCUCAUGUAAUUUCUUCCUUGAAGGUACCUUUCCAUAUUAAUUCUGAUACAUUUUAAUCUGUCAUUGGUAUGAUAAAAUGUAAUAAUGAAAUAUCCCUUAUUUAAGGAUUGUAUUCACCUCAAUUUGUGUUUCAAAUAUGUUUCAAAUAUCUUGUAUUCUUGUAUCA